rnacentral:rRNA from 1 species
UACGAAGGGUGCAAGCGUUACUCGGAAUUACUGGGCGUAAAGCGUGCGUAGGUGGUUUGUUAAGUCUGAUGUGAAAGCCCUGGGCUCAACCUGGGAAUUGCAUUGGAUACUGGCAGGCUAGAGUGCGGUAGAGGGUAGUGGAAUUCCCGGUGUAGCAGUGAAAUGCGUAGAGAUCGGGAGGAACAUCCGUGGCGAAGGCGACUACCUGGACCAGCACUGACACUGAGGCACGAAAGCGUGGGGAGCAAACAGGG